CCCACCCUGGCUGGCCUGUACUCAGAUCUUCGCGGAGCGGAUCAGCGGCCGGAGCGUUUGGCGGACUCUGCGUGGACUUGGAGCUCACGGCGUCUUGCGACUUGGAAGCGGAUUCAGAGGACAGGACAGAACACUUGGGGAUCAUGGCACAAGUUGCAGUUUCCACCCUGCCCAUGGAAGAUGAGGAGUCUGUUGAAGAUGAUUCCGUGGAGAGCAGGAUGGUGGUGACAUUUCUCAUAUCAGCUCUCGAGUCCACGGAUCAUGGCACAAGUUGCAGUUUCCACCCUGCCCAUUGAAGAUGAGGAGUCUGUUGAAGAUGAGGAGUCCUUGGAGAGCAGGAUGGUGGUGACAUUCCUGUCAGCUCUCGACUCCAUGGUCAGACCUUCUGUUCUCACAUUCUGUAGUUCAGUAGGACUGGGCGGUAGAUAAGGUUGAUUUGUUUUUGUAGAACUUACAAUUUUGUGAUUUUUAGUUCUAAUGAGUAGACCUUUUUCGUGAAUAGUAGUUACGGUCAAACACCUCUGACCAAAUGUGCAUGUGGAGUUUCUACACUGAUUUU
rnacentral:lncRNA from 1 species